GACGAACGCUGGCGGCGUGCUUAACACAUGCAAGUCGAACGGAAAGGCCCUGCUUUUGUGGGGUGCUCGAGUGGCGAACGGGUGAGUAACACGUGAGUAACCUGCCCUUGACUUUGGGAUAACUUCAGGAAACUGGGGCUAAUACCGGAUAGGAGCUCCUGCUGCAUGGUGGGGGUUGGAAAGUUUCGGCGGUUGGGGAUGGACUCGCGGCUUAUCAGCUUGUUGGUGGGGUAGUGGCUUACCAGGGCUUUGACGGGUAGCCGGCCUGAGAGGGUGACCGGCCACAUUGGGACUGAGAUACGGCCCAGACUCCUACGGGAGGCAGCAGUGGGGAAUAUUGCACAAUGGGCGGAAGCCUGAUGCAGCAACGCCGCGUGCGGGAUGACGGCCUUCGGGUUGUAAACCGCUUUCGCCUGUGACGAUGCGUGAGUGACGGUAAUGGGUAAAGAAGCACCGGCUAACUACGUG
rnacentral:rRNA from 1 species